GACGAACGCUGGCGGCGUGCUUAACACAUGCAAGUCGAACGGAAAGGCCCUGCUUUUGUGGGGUGCUCGAGUGGCGAACGGGUGAGUAACACGUGAGUAACCUGCCCUUGACUUUGGGAUAACUUCAGGAAACUGGGGCUAAUACCGGAUAGGAGCUCCUGCUGCAUGGUGGGGGUUGGAAAGUUUCGGCGGUUGGGGAUGGACUCGCGGCUUAUCAGCUUGUUGGUGGGGUAGUGGCUUACCAAGGCUUUGACGGGUAGCCGGCCUGAGAGGGUGACCGGCCACAAUGGGACUGGGGUACGGCCCAGAAUCCUACGGGAGGCAGCAGGGGGGAAUAUUGCAAAAUGGGCGGAAGCCUGAUGCAGCAACGCCGCGUGCGGGAUGACGGCCUUCGGGUUGUAAACCGCUUUCGCCUGUGACGAAGCGUGAGUGACGGUAAUGGGUAAAGAAGCACCGGCUAACUACGUG
rnacentral:rRNA from 1 species